GGAACAAUGGUCGAUAAGCUUUGCUAGCCAGGUUACCUUUGGGAAAUUGAAAGUUUUGGCCAGAAUGGGACACUAACUGGCACUAUUGUUACACCUUGCUUUGAAGAUACUGUAAUUCUUUAUGGAGUUUGUCUGUUCUUUUGGAUGCUAGCAAGUGUUAACUUCUUGUGUCGCAAAAACAGAGAAUUUAUCCAUAUUCCUUUUAAUCUAUUACUUUUGACUAAAAUGGUUUUGUGUUUUUUUAUUAUGCUCUUAACACUUUCUGACUUCAUCUAUGCCAUCAUUGUGGUUAGGAAAAAUGCUAUAGCACCUUAUUUCUUCAUGUCUCCAUUUGUAAUAGCAUUUACCAUGGUAACAGUGAUUCUUCUACUACAAUCUGAGU